CCUACGGGGGGCAGCAGUGGGGAAUAUUGGACAAUGGGCGAAAGCCUGAUCCAGCCAUGCCGCGUGUGUGAAGAAGGCCUUCGGGUUGUAAAGCACUCUCAGUGGGGAAGAAAGCCUUGGGGCUAAUACCCUCGAGGAAGGACAUCACCCACAGAAGAAGCACCGGCUAACUCCGUGCCAGCAGCCGCGGUAAUACGGAGGGUGCGAGCGUUAAUCGGAAUUACUGGGCGUAAAGCGCGCGUAGGCGGUCUGAUAAGCCGGUUGUGAAAGCCCCGGGCUCAACCUGGGAACGGCAUCCGGAACUGUCAGGCUAGAGUGCAGGAGAGGAAGGUAGAAUUCCCGGUGUAGCGGUGAAAUGCGUAGAGAUCGGGAGGAAUACCAGUGGCGAAGGCGGCCUUCUGGACUGACACUGACGCUGAGGUGCGAAAGCGUGGGUAGCAAACAGGAUUAGAUACCCUAGUAGUC
rnacentral:rRNA from 1 species